AUGAGCAGGGAGCUUUACUUUGUGUGCCCCCCUUCAACAUCUCUUGUCAUAUCUGUACUUGGAAGGGUUGAUAUGAUGAUUAACUGUGUUAUAGAGUAUUGGUUAUGUAGGGCACAUAUAAUAUUUUCCUUUUUUCAUUUAUAUUUUUUCUCCCCACUUAGCAAUAAGUGAAUAUUUUGGGGCUGUUCUUUUUUUUUUUUUUAAGAUUUAUUUAUUUAUUCAUUAGAGAGGGACUCAGAGACACAGGCAGAGAGAGAAGCAGGCUCCUCACAGGGAGCCUGAUGUGGGACUUGAUCCCCGGACCCAGGGUCAUGCCCUGAGCCAAAGGCAGACGCUCAACCGCUAAGCCACCCAGGCGUCCCUGGGGCUGUUCAUCUUUGCAAAACCCACUCCCUGGAAUUUUUGCUGUUUCCAGUUUACUCCUUGAGUCUUCAUUUGGAAAGUCCACUUUAGAGCUGGAUAUGGAUAGCAGACCUGAAUUAGCACUGGCUGCAGCUGUGACAUCUGAUCUUUUUUCAGGGCCCAUCUCUGCACCUAGCAACAUCCCUGGUCUGUGGAGAAAGGGUAGCAUGGUGGUUAGUAUGUGGGAUCAGACAGAUGAGCUUUAAUGGCACUGUUCUGCUUCUGAUCCACUAAGGUCCAUUGUAAUGUAAACAGUCUCAAUCAAGCUACUUCAAGAAAUGUGGGAUCUAGGUAGAAAUCUCUCUGAAAUCCAAGAGCAGAGCCCUAACUAGAGCUAGAAGGUGGUUCAGAUCAGAGUAGUUUCAUGACUUAAGCAACAGGAACCUAUGGUUUUCUACCCAGUGUUUAGGUGGUAACCUUUCUCAGCUACUCUCUUCCUGUUAGCUUCGGUCUUCUUACUUCCAGGUCUCCCUGCGUACUUACCUUCCAGGUUUCUUCUCUUCAGAAGCUGACUUGCAAAUAGCUUUAGUUUGUUUCUGAUUCUAUCAUUUGGCAUCUCUUGAUGCUUCCUUUUGCCUCCUGUUUUUGCUCUUGAAUGACUGUGUUUAUUUGAAAUUAGAGUCUUUAAUUGUCCCAUAGGAUCUUUGCUAUAUGUGUCCCUGAACUUAAUCUCUGUAUACACUUGACUGUCUGGAUGGGUGCACCCACUGUAGUCCAAUUAACAAAGGGGAGUAGCCGAGUCAUGUUGUAUCACAAAUAGCUUCCUGGG
rnacentral:lncRNA from 12 species